AGUGAAAGGGGGGGGUAGGCCUAACACAUGCAAGUCGAACGGCAGCACAGUAAGAGCUUGCUCUUACGGGUGGCGAGUGGCGGACGGGUGAGGAAUACAUCGGAAUCUACUUUUUCGUGGGGGAUAACGUAGGGAAACUUACGCUAAUACCGCAUACGACCUACGGGUGAAAGUAGGGGAUCUUCGGACCUUGCGCGAUUGAAUGAGCCGAUGUCGGAUUAGCUAGUUGGCGGGGUAAAGGCCCACCAAGGCGACGAUCCGUAGCUGGUCUGAGAGGAUGAUCAGCCACACUGGAACUGAGACACGGUCCAGACUCCUACGGGAGGCAGCAGUGGGGAAUAUUGGACAAAGGGCGCAAGCCUGAUCCAGCCAUACCGCGUGGGUGAAGAAGGCCUUCGGGUUGUAAAGCCCUUUUGUUGGGAAAGAAAAGCAGCAGGUUAAUACCCCGCUGUUCUGACGGUACCCAAAGAAUAAGCACCGGCUAACUUCGUG
rnacentral:rRNA from 1 species